AAGAAGAAGAAGAAGCGCUUUCUUAUCUAGCGUGCUGUUCGCUUCGUUGAAUCAUAUUUUCCUUUAGAAUGGAAGAUGUAACAGUGUGAUUCUUCCCUUGGAGACUUGAUUUGAGCAGGAGAUUCUAGCGUCUUCUCUGCUAAGCAUUUCUUCUUGGGUUUUGUUUGUGGUGUUAAGUAGUCUGUUAUAUUUGAGUGAUCAUGGGGUCAGCUUGCUGUAUUGCUGCGAGAGAAAAAGAC
rnacentral:misc_RNA from 1 species